AACGAACGCUGGCGGCAGGCCUAACACAUGCAAGUCGAGCGGACCUUUCGGGGUCAGCGGCGGACGGGUGAGUAACGCGUGGGAAUAUGCCCUUCUCUACGGAAUAGUCCUGGGAAACUGGGGGUAAUACCGUAUACGCCCUUUGGGGGAAAGAUUUAUCGGGGAAGGAUUAGCCCGCGUUGGAUUAGGUAGUUGGUGGGGUAAUGGCCUACCAAGCCGACGAUCCAUAGCUGGUUUGAGAGGAUGAUCAGCCACACUGGGACUGAGACACGGCCCAGACUCCUACGGGAUGCAGCAGUGGGGAAUCUUAGACAAUGGGGGCAACCCUGAUCUAGCCAUGCCGCGUGAGUGAUGAAGGCCUUAGGGUUGUAAAGCUCUUUCAGCUGGGAAGAUAAUGACGGUACCAGCAGAAGAAGCCCCGGCUAACUCCGUG
rnacentral:rRNA from 1 species